UGUAUUUAAGUGUGUGUAUAUUUGGGGUGUUUUGUGUGUGUGUGUGGGGGUAAUCAGUGUGUGUUGUUUGUGUUAUGUGUGUGUGUGUUUGUGUGUUAGUGCACGUGAUUGCGUGUAUGUGUGGGAAGCGGGGGCGGAUGUGAUGUUGAAGCAGGUGUGAUUUGAUCCGACUUUUCACUAAUUGAUUAAAGCGGCAGCUGUCCAUACACUCCCUUCCCACCCAGAAAACCAAAUCACAACAGAACAUACUAGGAUUCUCACCUGUCCCGUGUCGUUUCAUCAGUAAACUAACCUCUAGAUGUCGAGACUGCACUCUACGCUUUGGACCCCAUCCCACACCACCACCGCCCAUCUCCCUAGAACUCUCGUCUGUCACCUGUGAGUCAGGAUUGGCUGUCCUGGGUUCAGAUCUCGUUUCGGGCACACGCUGCUUUUUUCUCUGCAUAUGGCAUCUGUUUACAGGGCUGGCUGCCUUGCAGUGAUAUAGACAAAUGCUGGCUCGGCGUAAAACACUAAUUUCCCCCUUUCCACGCACCGAACUGCUUUGAAAUAUUUGUUAGUAAAAAUAUGACGAACGAACGAGCUAAAAGCAACAACAACAACAAAUGGUGACACUCGAACCCUCAAGUACUCAACAGCAACAGGUGCAAGUCAGCAGCAGCAACGGUUGAUGCAUAUCGGUUGUCGUCUGACCCCCACCAUCGCCACGCACACCUGUGCAGGUAGGAUAGGCUCUAGAUGGCGGUCACAAGCGCUCGGUGCGACUUCGGGGAGUGGAGAACAUGGAGAACGUCGACUCAUUUGUGUGUGUGUUUUUUUUUGGUUUUUUUUUUUUUUUUUGGUUUUUGUUUUUUGUUUUUUUUAAAUUUCCAUGCAGCUGUCCAAGGUUAGAGAGAAUAAAAAAGAAAAUUGAGUCGAUCGUCAGAGGCGCAGGCUAAACACCCACCCCACCCCAAGCAGUUAGCUUCAUCACCGACACGAUCCCAGCCCCCCCGGGAUGUCACGGACCACUGCUGCCCGGUGCUGGAGGUAAAGCCUGUGACAGCAGCUUACGUCAAGGGGGCCAAAGUCAAGGUCCCUGGGCAUACAGUUGGCGAGGCCUUGAAACCCUUUCCCCUAACUCCAUGUUCGUGUGAUUUAUUAUUUCAAGGGUCAGGGGUGAAGGGCGAAAUGAACAAAUGCGCGAGCAAGAGUUCGCGACUGCUCGUGGCUGUUUCGUGACUAAUCAUGCGCACUGGUCAUUUGCGGUGGAGAGAAGAGUGCAAGGUGGUGGUGGUGGUUGUGGUGGUGGUGAGAAAAUCAAUUUAUUCUCCUCCCUCCUUCUCUCUCUCUCCACUCCCCUCACAUGACCUCGAGUAUCUUCUUGAGUGAUGCCAUGGCGUAGGUGACGCUUGUUACCCUGGGUUGCGCUGGAGUGAAGUUAUCAAACCUCUCCUGCCAGCCUCUCCACUGCACGCACCUGUCACCGCGCAGCAUGUCGCAGACUGAAGGCCACGUGUUGAAUGAAUGGCGUCAGUCCACUGCAUCUUUGACGCCCACGCUCACGUGUGCAGUUUCCGGUUGUUUAGACAUCCAGAUAAACGAGAGAUUGAGAGAAAGAAAAAAAUUGACGAUUACGAACUAGACUGUCAGAAGUUGUGACCUCCUUGAUAUAAUUAACCCCAAAAUAAAAAAAGUGCAGAGAGAGUAAGUGAGAUGAAUGAGUGAGAGUAAGAGGGAAAAGUAUUCACUCGUGAAGAUGAUGGUGGAUGAUAAACCUGAUCGUAAUCGUGGAUAGCUUGCUGAGACCAUGUUUACAAGCUUGAUUUAUCAUGCUUGUUCCCCUGCCCCGUAACUGCUCAUGGCGAAGUACUGGAUGCCACCUGCUUGCGGUUGGGAUGAAAGGUGCCUGCGCCUGCUAACUUACACGUGCCUAUGACGUCAGAGAGAGCUUAGCACCUUCUGAACCCACUCCGCCUCACGCUAAUUACUCUUUUAUACUCAAAAGUUUCUUUCAAGGUCUGCCUUCCUUACUCCAUCGGCCAUGUGCACGUGCAGUCACGUCGAGUCACGUGACCGCCGCACUGCUAAGCGGAAGUGACGUUGACAUUUCACUCACUUCUCGACAGCCGCGGGGAGGGGAGAUAAGUCUCUCGCGAGGGUCGCGCAUGAAACUUUUUCUCUUCCCUUGAGUGCAGGGCGCAGUGCUCGUGGGCGUUUAUUUAUUUACUUUUUUAAACUAUUUUUUUUUUAACGGCGCUAGGAUGUUGACGCGCGGCAAGGUUCGCGGAAGCCAGCGGCGGGAAUCGAUCAACUAAGCGUAGCGAGGUCACGAAGUUCGGCGAUCCGGGGUCGUGAUGACAGCAAGCGACAUCUAGAGAGCGGGUACUGACGAGAGAAAAAAAAAAUCAUUGAUAGGGAGGAGGGUUGGAGGAGAACGAGAGUUGGCAUGACCGCUCGCAUCAUGCACAGAUGGCAGCAAGUAGCAAGUAAAUAAUAAUAACACAACUGGAUUGGUCGGACGGUUCAGGCAUCCCACCCGGACCCUUUAUUUUCUUACUAUCGUCGUUGCCAUCCUCGGCCGCGUUCGGUGACAGCGUUUAUCAACACAACAACAAAGAAGAAAAUAAACACAACACUCACAUCUCCCUCCACCACCCCUUUUCGCAACACCUCCACCCCACUUCUAUCCUUUCUCUGACGCUGCUAACAACCCUACUCGGCCUCUUAGUAAGUGUAAGUAAAUAAGGGCUCUCUUCUUUGUAUGCAAAAUUCCCCUGCGUUGACAGGCCUGCCGAGUCGCCCUCUAACGAUCAAAACAGCGAUGUUAAGCGCGCGGAGAGUGGAAAACAAAGCUGUGUAAAUAAGGGGUAUCUAGGGCAGGCUUGAGGCAGGCGCCAAUGUGUUGACCACGUCGCACGUUGUUCAACGGGUGCAUGGCAAUAAAGGAAAGGUGUUUGUGCUUGGCAGUGGCGUCGGAGCAAAAGAAGGGAGGAAAGAUAACGUGUUUUGCUGGGUGCAUGUGAACCGAUUACUCCUCCCAUCUCCUAAUCCCCCUUCCCCCAGAAUUCUCCUCCUCCUCUGCCCAUCUCUCUCUCUCUGACUUUAUUUUUAGCUGUGUCCGACCUUGUCAGGGUGAGGAAUAAUUGAAAACAAACUCAAGCGAAUAUAAAUACUUUAUUUCCCUCGUUGAUAGCGUUUUUUUUUCUCUCUCUCUCUGUAUAUAUAUAUAGGCAGCAAAUACAUCUCAGACUGUUUAUUUUUCUCCCAUACUGUCAUCACCCUGACUUCAUAUUAAAGCUAUCCUACAUGGUCAGAUUACAGUUGGGGGAAUUUCAUAAACAUUCCCCGUGCAAAUUUGACGGAAUUUUCAAAACAAGGGUGAGUUCACAAAGCUGAACUUAUUCUCCAAAAGUUGAUUCCCUGUUGCAUCACAAAUUGUCUAAUACUGAACAACAGACGAAUACAACACAAUUAGCUUAAUAGGAACACAUUUCAAACAUCACAUAAUGCACAAAUAUCGAACUCAAGAUAUUCAACAAGUAUACAGUCACAAGAGGUCAUGGAAGAAAUACAGUCACGAAUAUGUUAUAGUCAUGAUAUAUUACAAUACAUUUAUCGCUAUCUUUUGCAAGAUGAUGAACAGCUAUAUAUCUGCGCACUUACAACUAUCAAUACAAGAUACUAAACAUAUAUACGAUACACAAUUUAUAUAUAUAUUAAGAUAAGACCCAAAUGAAGAAUUUGUACAAUUAUAAUCACGGAUAUAAGAUACUAUCAGAUUAACGAACGUAACAUACUGUAUACUUACAACUACGAAUAUAAGACACUGCGCAACACCAUGCAGCCCUGUACAACUAUGAUCUAACCAGCAUAAUUAUUCAACUAUAAUCACGAAUAUCAAAUACUGCACAACUCUUACCAAUGCAAGAUACAAGAUAAGAUAUAUUAAAGUCCAAAUUAUCAACUUCACAAUUAUAAUAUAAUCUUGUCACGUUAUUGAACAGAUGUACAGUCACGGGUACAAACAACGAUUUUGUUUAACAGCGUCUUGGGAAGAACGGCUUACAGUGCAGGUCACGUGACUGUGUACAACUCGGAAAUCGUCACACUGCCCGGCUUGGUGAGCUGUGACGUCUUUCCGGUUUUAAAGGCAUGGUGAGGGGAGAUUAUGAAGAAGCGCAAGCGGAUGCUUGGUGUUGUGGUCUGGCGCACGGACUGUGACUCGUGUAGUCUGCGGUUAACCUGUGUGUGUGUUGUUGUUUUUGCUGUUGUUGUUGUUAUGUGACAUUUGAAGCCAUUAUAUCUGUUUAUCUGCCCACACGACAUUUAUUUUUUUCUCUACCUGAUUUUUUCUUUCAAGAUUUAAUUUUUUGCGCGUGUAUUUAUUUUUGUAUUGUUUACAGUGAUUCUGUUGUAAAAUGAGUCUAACAGACAUGUUGGAACUAAGCUCUUCAAUCAAUCCCUGUGCUAUCUACUGCAACAAUCAGAAUAAUCCAAGAUCAGCUCUCGGAUCACGCCACUGAAUGUUCUGGGAAGAGCGUGCUCAGCCACGGAGGUUGGAAAUCCACCCAACGUCACAGCGAUGCUGGGAAAGCACCGAAAAGCUUUCAGAUAAAAAUAAACACAUAUUCUCGGCAUGAUAAUGCUCCCCCCAUCACCCUUUCCCUCUCUUUCCCUUUCAACUCCCCUACUAGACCCAGUUACAGCGUCUGCCGUUUCCGCCUCGGUCCUGUCCGGUGCUGGCGUUUAAGGGAAAUCAGGUCACAGCGAGGCCGAGUUUGAAGGCGUCCCAUUGGCUGGCGUCAGUUGACGUCAUUUAUUUCCGUUACCAGGAUUUGACCCGUAAUUAUCGCGCAUCGCGGCGACAGAUAGUUUACGAUGCGUGUCCUACUAUCAAACGUGACUAAUACCAUUUCUUCAAAUGGACUGACUCAUUGAGAGGGGGAAACUUUAGAUAAGUGCUUUACUAUAGUAUACUAUUUACUUUGUUGACAGGAAGAGGAUAAACAUAAGAGAGGAACAGGUUUGUUUCAAACUUCACCAAUAAGUCAAGAGAGAGGCAGUGUGGCGCGCGAUACCGCCGCUGGAUGUCAGACUUGACAUGCGGUCAGAUGGAAGAUGGUGCGGAAGGUAUGGGCGGAGAGAGAGUGAAGAGGGUUCACAGGCCACUCUUCACAAGUCAAGUGCCGGCUACAAGCUAAGAGGGACGAGCUGUCUUACGUCACGAGAGGGCGAGGGUACAGGGAAGAGGGCGGAAUUGUUUGUGCUGAUGUGUUGAUGAGUUGCAAUGUAGUUGACACAGGCAAAAUUAAACUGUCUGAUUAAGACAGAAGUAUUUGACUUAAUGCAUUGGACACAUAAACUGUAAUUAUCUGAAAGAAGCAAACUUAAAUGUAUCUGACACAAUGUUGUAAUUUAUUUGAAAAUUUCAAGCUGUAAUGCAUUGUAUCACUAGAAAAAAAGUAGAAUAUAUUCUAAACAGGGAAGCCAUAUUGUAUCUGACAAAGACAAAAUUGUACUUGAAAAAAUCUGCCAUGUAUUUAAUAAAUAAGAAAACAGAAUAAUAUUACGACGUAGAUGAAAUUGCGAUGUGCCUGACGAUUGUAUGACAGACGAGGUGUGGAAUGAGAGGUCUGUCACGUUCUGGGACAGCAGCUUCUACGUGACGUGACGUAGCGGAAGCUGACUGACUACGUAAUGGCGCCAAAUGCGCGAGAUGGCGGCGACUGUGGCGAGGGGACUAACCUCAGGUCCCAGGGGUCGACACCAGAAGUCCACUCAACUCCGUUUGAUGCUUGCUAUCGCAGACUGUCCACACUGCACCGUAGCAACUUCCUUGACAGUGUUCCUUCCUCUCAUCCCGAAUAUUUCCUUCGUACUAUCACCUUACGGUUGACACUUCUACGUAUGCGCUUGUGUGUGUGCGUGAGUGAGAGAGAGAGCAUGAGACAAAGGAAGAGCACUUGGUAAAAUUUAAAGCACCUGUAAUCCAAGAGAUAAAUGCGUUUUUGUGAACUGCAUUCACCUGUAACAUUCGACCGUGACUCCGGAUACACAAUACAGAAACUGGAUAGUCUGUGUACACGGAGAUGGGAGUGAAGGCAUCAAACACAGGGUUCUUCCAUCUAUCCUUCUCUCUCUCGGACGAAAGACAGGUAUAUGCAUCUCUCUCUCUCUCUUGCAUAUGCUGGCAAACAAGAUUGAGUGCACGCGCACACACACACAUAUAACACUCCCUUUCAAAUAAACCGUCGAAGUUUUAGUUCGCUCCCAAUAGCAUGAACUUUUACGAAUCACCAAAAUGAUUACAGAUAAUAAUACAAAAUUAAUUUUCCCCAACGUCCACCCUACGAUAACCCUUAACGGAAAUUACCGAAGAGACUCUCUUAUCGAGAAGAUAACGUUUGCACUUCAUGUCGUCCACGUGUUUGCGUGGCGAUGAACCAGUUAGAGUACGGGGUGGAAAGGAAGAAGAGUGCACAUAGCUGCUACCCUGAAACCCGUUAGUGAUUAGACCUCGUUUCAUCACUGUCACAUCACUGUCACGCGUUCUUUAUCACGCGAAAGACACAAUGGAAAGUCCUGUGUGAUGUGGAUAUUUGAAUUGAAUAGUCUGUGACACAUCAGACAGAAUGCUUUACAAAACUCUUUACGUUUCCUUCCUGUUCUUUUUCUUUUUGUUCUUCUGAAGACAGUCUUACACUAAUCCAAGCCCAACAACAGUAAUAAUCCAUGUAAUGAGUAGUAAUUGUCUGCUGAAAAAAA
rnacentral:lncRNA from 1 species